rfam:Triticum aestivum genome assembly, contig: Triticum_aestivum_CS42_TGACv1_scaffold_000482_1AL
UUUGUACUCCCUCCAUCCAGAAAUAUUUGUCAUCAAAAUGAAUAAAAGAGUAUGUAUCUAGAAGUAUUUUAGUUCUAGAUACAUCUUUUUUUAUCCAUUUUGAUGACAAGUAUUUUCGGACGGAUGGAGUACAAG